ACGGGAGGCAGCAGUCGGGAAUAUUGCGCAAUGGAGGAAACUCUGACGCAGUGACGCCGCGUAUAGGACGAAGGUCUUCGGAUUGUAAACUAUUGUCGUUAGGGAAGAGAAAGGACAGUACCUAAGGAGGAAGCUCCGGCUAACUACGUGCCAGCAGCCGCGGUAAUACGUAGGGAGCGAGCGUUAUCCGGAUUUAUUGGGUGUAAAGGGUGCGCAGACGGGAAAUUAAGUUAGUUGUGAAAUCCCUCGGCUUAACUGAGGAACUGCAACUAAAACUGGUUUUCUUGAGUAUUGGAGAGGAAAGCGGAAUUCCUAGUGUAGCGGUGAAAUGCGUAGAUAUUAGGAGGAACACCAGUGGCGAAGGCGGCUUUCUGGACAAAAACUGACGUUGAGGCACGAAAGUGUGGGGAGCAAACAGGAUUAGAUACCCUGGUA
rnacentral:rRNA from 1 species